UGCUCUCUCUCUCUCUCCAAUUAAACUCCUCUCUCUCUCUCCAAUUAAACUCCUUUCAGUUUCUUCGUAACCUAUCAAAACCCUAAUUGACAGUCAUAUUCAAUCAAAAUUGGAGUUUCUCAUACCUAUCAAAACCGGUCACAUAUUCAUGUCCUUUAUGCUACUGGAUGAACAAAUCAUCCCCCUUUGCACGUUUUAAUUACAGUGCUUUAUGGUGAAACAAAUAACAUCGUGAAAAAAGAUGGAAGUUACCAGUAACGAACCAGAAGAAACCCGUGUUCUAACUCCACUGAGAUUCUUACGGGGCGUGUUUUGUUUACUCGUUUGCUUUCAACUGCAUUCGUGAUAUUAGUCUACUGCGGUUUCAUCACGGCUGUUAUCUUUAGACUUUUUAGCGUACAUUACAGCCGAAAGGCAACAGCCUUUUUCUUCGGCAGCUGGCUGGCGUUGUGGCCUCUUUUAUUUGAGAAAAUAAACAAAACGAAAGUAAUAUUUUCCGGAGAAACCGUUCCUGCGACUAGGGUCAUUCCGUUAACUCGAUAUACAACUUAAUGAGGCUAUGAAACCUUUAAGCUUCAAUACGACACAUAUACGAUCCAUUGGCGAGCAUACCACGUUGGUCAAUGAGCCCAUUUUUCCAUCUUCAUGAAUCUUGACAAAAGGAAAGUUAGUUACAUCUUCUUCAAUUACUUCAACAAUAUAGGAUGAAAUUGCGUGUUCUGUUGAUAGACACCAGUUUUUCAAAGUCACCAGUGGUGAUAAUUACCAUCACAUCUUUGACGGUUGCAUAAUAUCAUGUUGCGAUCUGGCCAUUUUCUUUUUUUGUUCUUAGGUGAACUUUGAGGAGGUUAAGAAAGAUCUUAAUCUGGUUCCAUCGGUUCCUCAAAAGUCUCUUGCUCACCAGAAAUAUGAAAAUAUGCUGAUGUGGUUAAAGCUUCUGUUAAUGAACAUAUUAAUUGAACCCUAUAUCAUUAUAGUUGAGACUUGAUUCAUUCAAUGGGUGCCAAACUCAUCUAUUUCCAAUUCCACCAGAAAGCACCAGUUUGUAUCAGCAGUUCAGCACCUUCACGGGCUUCAAGUAUGUGUGUUCCUACACUUAUUCUUACAUUGUUUGUGUAAUCAUUUUCUAUUCGUGGCUAUCUGAAGUGCCUAUUUUUUACUGAAUAUGUUUCUGUAAAGUUUAUUUUUAUGGUGUGACGGGGGAUGAAGAUGAGUCUGUGGUACAUAUCACAAACAGAAAGCAAGCGGAAGUUGCACCCAAGAGAAUAUUCUUGAAUGUUGCUAAACCAAGCUCCAAGUUUGUCAACGAGCUGAGCUGCAAUUGAGUUACUUGAGAUUGGCCUUGAAUCGAGCCGAGCAUAGACCUCAUUUAAUAAACAAGCGCGAGCUACGCUUAUGGAGCUUGACUAGGUGCCCACUUUUUUAGAAGUUUUGAUUUCAGGCCUUAGUUCAUCGCUUCAUUACUUGCUUGGGUUAUAGAAAUAUAUACAAGUUUGAACAACUACUUAUUUCUGUUUGCAUAUGUGUGCUUUUUUAAAAGUUUUGCUUUCACACCUUAGUUCAUCACUUCAUGACUUGCUUGGGUUAUAGAAUUUUAAGUUUUGAAGUUGCAAUGCUCUUAUCUAGCUCCAAGCUGUUCAAGUCCCAUCAUAUUUCUAUCUAAUAUAGGGUGAUGACAUUGAGAUAACACCAGAUUGGAUAUUUAACCAGAGUUUCGCUGCAUCUAGGCCAGAUGCUGCUACAUCAAGUAGUGUGGAUGCUAGAUGAUCUCAUGGGGAUGGAAGUUAGAUUCUCAUACUUACGAGUUUUUUCGUACUUUUGGAAACAUUAGAUGGGGAAUAUUAACAUUGUUAUGGUCAGACACGACUCAUUGGGUUAUUGAGUCACUAUGUUUUUUAGCGAUGAUAAAGUGGUUUUAUGUUGCACACGCGUACAAAGGAAGAUGGAUGAUUUUUGACGAUGAUAAAGUGGGCGUAUCUAAGAAUCCUCCAAAAGACAUUGCAUACCUCUCCUUUAUUGGAUGAUUCAAAGUUGAGUAUUUUUAUCUUAUUCUAUGACUUGGAUCUUUCUUUUGUCCAAGGUCGAUUUGUAUACAGAAGAGGGAAACACAAAGAUAGUGGAGGGCUCUACUGACUCAACUAGGAUCUUAUAUUUUGUUAUGUUAAAAACGGUUGAUUGUUGAAUGAUGUUAACACAUUUGUACUAAUUUUCAAGAUUGCUUGAUUACAUUUGUACUAAUUUAUUUGGUUCAAU
rnacentral:lncRNA from 1 species